UACGUAGGUGGCAAGCGUUGUCCGGAUUUACUGGGCGUAAAGAGCGCGCAGGCGGUCGUUCAAGUCGCGUGUGAAAGCCCCGGCUCAACUGGGAGAGGUCCUUGCAUACUGGCAAACUCGAGGGAGGCAGAGGAAAGUGGAAUUCCCGGUGUAGUGGUGAUAUGCGUAGAUUAUCGGGAGGAACACCUGUGGCGAAGGCGGCUUUCUGG
rnacentral:rRNA from 1 species